AUGCCCUCGGCCACCAGCCACAGCGGAAGCAGCAGCAAGUCGCCCGGACCUCCACCGCCGUCGGGUUCCUCCAGGAGGGAGGUGGCGGCAGGAGCCGGGGCAGCUGCGCCAGCUUCUCAGCACCCGGCAACCGGCACUGGCGCUGUCCAGACCAGGCCGUGAAGCAGAUUCUCGGGGUGAUCAACAAGAAACUUAGGAACCUGGAGAAGAAAAAGGGUAAGCUUGAUGAUGAUCAGGAAUGAAUGAACAAAGGGGAAAGGCUUAAUCAAGAUCAGCUGGAUGCUGUGUCUAAGCACCAGGAUGCUCACAAAUAGCUUGGAGUUUGCAAAAGAACUACAGAGGAGUUUCAUGGCAUUAAGUCAAGAUAUUCAGAAAACAAUAAAGAAGACAGCAUGUCGGGAACAGCUUAUGAGAGAAGAAGCCGAACAGAAACGUUUAAAAACUGUGCUUGAACUGCAAUAUGUUUUGGACAAAUUGGGAGAUGAUGAAAUAUGAACUGACCUGAAACAAGGUUUGAAUGGAGUACCAAUAUUAUCUGAAGAGGAAUUGUCAUUGUUGGAUGAAUUCUACAAGUUGAACGAGCAAUAUGAACAUGCCUCCAUUCAUCUGUGGAACUUGCCAGAAGGGAAGGAAAAAUCUGUGUGCGGAACCACUUACAAAGUUCUAAAGGAAAUUGUUGAGCGUGUUUUUCAGUCAAACUACUUUGAUAGCAUCCACAACCACCAGAAUGGUUUGUGUGAAGAAGAGGAGGCAGCCUCAGCACCUACAGCUGAAGACCAGGUAGCUGAAGCUGAACCUGAGCCAGCAGAAGAAUGCACUGAACAAAGUGAAGUUGAAUCAACAGAGUAUGUAAACAGACCAUUUAUGGCAGAAACACAAUUCAGCAGUGGUGAAAAGGAGCAGGUAGAUGAGUGGACAGUUGAAACAGUUGAGGUGGUAAACUCGCUCCAGCAGCAACCUCAAGCUGCAUCCUCUUCAGUACGAGCCUCACUCUUUGACUCCAGUGGCUCAGGCAGAUCCCCUGGUAAGAAGACAGGGAGUACAAGACUUUAUGGCACAAAUGCAGGGGCCCUAUAAUUUCAUACAGGAUUCAACGCUGGAUUUGGAAAAUCAGACACUUGAUCCUGCCAUUGUAUCUGCCCAGCCAAUGAAUCCAACACAAAACAUGGACAUGCCCCAGCUGGUUUGCCCUUCAGUUCAUUCUGAAUCCAGACUUGCUCAACCUAACCAAGUUCCUAUACAGCCAGAAGCUACACAGGUUCCUUUAGUUUCAUCUACAAGUGAGGGGUAUACAGCAUCUCAACCUUUGUACCAGCCUUCUCAUGCUACAGAGCAACGACCACAAAAGGAACCAAUUGAUCAGAUUCAGGCAACAAUCUCUUUAAAUACAGACCAGACAACAGCAUCAUCAUCCCUUCCUGCUGCUUCUCAGCCCCACGUGUUCCAGGCUAGGACUAGCCAACCCUUACACAGUAGUGGAAUUAAUGUAAAUGCAGCUCCAUUCCAAUCCAUGCAAACGGUGUUCAAUAUGAAUGCCCCAGUUCCUCCUGUUAAUGAACCAGAAACUUUAAAACAACAGAAUCAGUAUCAGGCCAGUUAUAACCAGAGAUUUUCUAGUCAGCCUCACCAAGUAGAACAAACAGAGCUUCAGCAAGAACAGCUUCAAACAGUGGUUGGCACUUAUCAAGGUUCCCAGGACCAGUCUCAUCAAGUGACUGGUAACCACCAGUAGCCUCCUCAGCAGAACACUGGCUUUCCACGUAGCAAUAGCCAUGGUGUAUCUCGUGGAGGCUUCCGUGGUGCUAGAGGCUUGAUGAAUGGAUAUCGGGGCCCUGCAAAUGGAUUCAGGGGAGGAUAUGAUGGUUACCGCCCUUCAUUCUCUAACACUCCAAACAGUGGUUAUACACAGUUCAGUGCUCCCCGGGACUACUCUGGCUAUCAGCAGGAUGGAUAUCAGCAGAAUUUCAAGCAAGGCUAUGGGCAGAGUGGACCACGGGGAGCCCCACGAGGUUGUGGAGGGCCCCCAAGACCCAACAGAGGGAUGCCGCAAAUGAACACUCAGCAAGUGAAUUAAUCUGAUUCACAGGAUUAUGUUUAAUCCCCAAAAACACACUGGCCAGUGUACCAUAAUAUGUUACCAGACGAGUUAUUAUCUAUUUGUUCUCCCUUUUAGGAAACUUAU